GACGAACGCUGGCGGCAGGCCUAACACAUGCAAGUCGAACGCAUCCUUCGGGAUGAGUGGCGCACGGGUGAGUAACACGUGGGAACGUACCUUGGAGUACGGAAUAAUCCUUGGAAACGAGGACUAAUACCGUAUACGCCCUUCGGGGGAAAGAAUUUCGCCCCAAGAUCGGCCCGCGUCCGAUUAGCUAGUUGGCGGGGUAAUGGCCCACCAAGGCGACGAUCGGUAGCUGGUCUGAGAGGAUGAUCAGCCACACUGGGACUGAGACACGGCCCAGACUCCUACGGGAGGCAGCAGUGGGGAAUAUUGCGCAAUGGGGGAAACCCUGACGCAGCCAUGCCGCGUGAGUGAAGGAGGCCUUCGGGUUGUAAAGCUCUUUCGGGUGUGAAGAUGAUGACGGUAACACCAGAAGAAGCCCCGGCUAACUUCGUGCCAGCCGCCGCUGUAAAAC
rnacentral:rRNA from 1 species